rnacentral:tRNA from 1 species
GCCUCGGUAGCUUAGUAGGUAUCGCGUCAGUCUCAUAAUCUGAAGGUCGUGAGUUCGAUGCUCACCCGGGGCA